rnacentral:rRNA from 1 species
CGCGGCCUAUCAGCUUGUUGGUGGGGUAAUGGCCUACCAAGGCAACGACGGGUAGCUGGUCUGAGAGGAUGUCCAGCCACACUGGGACUGAGACACGGCCCAGACUCCUACGGGAGGCAGCAGUGGGGAAUCUUGCACAAUGGGCGAAAGCCUGAUGCAGCGACACCGCGUGCGGGAUGAAGGCCCUCGGGUCGUAAACCGCUUUCAGCAGGGACGAUAGUGACGGUACCUGCAGAAGAAGCCCCGGCCAACUACGUGCCAGCAGCCGCGGUAAUACGUAGGGGGCAAGCGUUGUCCGGAUUUAUUGGGCGUAAAGAGCUCGUAGGCGGUUCGAUAAGUCGGGUGUGAAAUCUCCAGGCUCAACCUGGAGGCGCCACUCGAUACUGUCGUGACUUGAGUUCGGUAGAGGAGUAUGGAAUUCCCGGUGUAGCGGUGAAAUGCGCAGAUAUCGGGAGGAACACCCGUAGCGAAGGCGGUACUCUGGGCCGAAACUGACGCUGAGGAGCGAAAGCGUGGGGAGCGAACAGGAUUAGAUACCCAGGUAGUCCACGCCGUAAACGUUGGGCACUAGGUGUGGGGAUCUAUCGACGGUUUCCGUGCCGUAGCUAACGCAUUAAGUGCCCCGCCUGGGGAGUAC